GGGCUUACAACCCUAAGAUGAUCAGGUAUGCACCGUAUAUACAUUGAAAUUAAGUUAAGAUUGACUAUGAGCAUGUAAGUAUAUGGGUUGAAGUGUGAAGUAACAUAAGUAUGUGAUUUUUGCGUAUUUGCAUUUAUUUAGCCUUGUAAUCGAAUUAGAUGUAUUCGGCAUAAUUAUGAGGUUAGUUGGGUAAAAAGAGAUUAUCUACAUGAUACGAAUUCGUGUUUAAGGAAAAAUUUAAG
rnacentral:lncRNA from 1 species